CGGACUAUUCGAUGCAAAUCCAAAUUAAUCGGGCGUAGGGUUUCAGAUACUGAAUGCCUAGCUAAAGAAAAACAAAUUGAUAUAGCGAAUUAGCUAAACAUGCAUUAAAGGCAGAAGAGGAGCUAUUAUAGAAGGAGUAGAGAGAUGAACAUAGAACUUAUUCCAACCUAAUAGCUCGAGAGUUACGUAAAUUUUCCAUCCAUAUGAAUAAUGAUAAGAAGAUAGAUCAAAAUAUAAACAAUUUUUCUUCAAAUCAGAUUUUUGAAGGAAAGAUUUAUUAGUAAGAAACUAUUAGUCCAUGUAAAAAGAUAGAAGAAAA
rnacentral:lncRNA from 1 species